rnacentral:rRNA from 1 species
AUUGAACGCUGGCGGCAGGCUUAACACAUGCAAGUCGAGCGGGGUGAUGGUGCUUGCACUAUCACUUAGCGGCGGACGGGUGAGUAAUGCUUAGGAAUCUGCCUAUUAGUGGGGGACAACAUCUCGCAAGGGAUGCUAAUACCGCAUACGUCCUAAGGCAGCUAGCAGGGGAGCACUAGUGAGCUUGCGGUAAUAAAUGAGCCUAAUUCGGAUUGGCAAGUUGUGGGGGUAAAGGCCGACCAAGGCGACGAUCUGUGGCGGGUCUGAGAGGAUCAUCCGCCCCACUGGGACUGGGACAAGGCCCAGACUCCUACGGGAGGCAGCAGUGGGGAAUAUUGGACAAUGGGGGGAACCCUGAUCCAGCCAUGCCGCGUGUGUGAAGAAGGCCUUAUGGUUGUAAAGCACUUUAAGCGAGGAGGAGGCUCUUUUGGUUAAUACCCAAGAUGAGUGGACGUUACUCGCAGAAUAAGCACCGGCUAACUCUGUGCCAGCCGCCGCCGUAA